AAUUGUCCGGCUGCACAAUGCUAUUG
rnacentral:piRNA from 1 species